CCCUGCUUGGGACUUGAACCCAUUUGGCUGGGUCUCAAACUCAGCCAAAACCCAUGGUACCUGGUCUCAGGAUCUAAGGAAGCUCAAGUUCUUGCUGUCUCAUCACAGAAAGAAUUCAGUGAGAGACAAAGUGAUAGACCAGGUUGCAAAUAUACACUGACUUCCUUCAGUAGAAGUUGUGAAAUUGCUGGAAAAUGGCUGAGGAUCUUUGACCUGUCUCUUCAAAGGACCAGUUCCCAAGUCUCUCCUUUCAACACUCCCUGCUCGCUGCUAUUUAAGCUACCACCUGGAAGCAUAUUCAGCAUGUGGGACCAGCCCUAAAACUUGCUGGAGUUCUUGUUUCUUCCUUGGUCUGUGUGAGUAGCAAAGACAUACAAGGCCACCAUUCAGUAACCUUGAGAACCAUUAAACCCAUCACAAGACCACCUGAUGCCAGAUGAUUGAAGGAAUGAAGGCCCUGCAUGCACCCUGAUCCUUAUCAGCACCUCUGCCUCUUGACUACAAGACUCCUCACAAUCCACUUAUUCCACCCCCGGUUGGGACAUACAGUUUUGAGGGCAUUAGCCUGCUGCAGCCCCCUUUGCCUGGCAAAGCAAUAAAACUAUUCGUUUCUAUGUCAUCCAAAACUGUGUCUUUGAGAUUCAAUUUGGUGCUGGUUGCACAGAGGCUAGGUUUCUGCAUCACACAUGGACUAAAAAUAUUCCAGCAGUUUCUUAAUGUGUCUCCUUUGCCCAAUCUUAAGCUCCAGUCCACACCAUGGAGC
ensembl:lncRNA